rnacentral:misc_RNA from 1 species
CAAGAGUGAUUCGGGCCUCUCGGGGCCCGAAACCUCCAACCCCAUGUCUUCCGACUCUGUUGCCUCGGGGGCGACCCGGCCCUCCUGGGCGUCGGGGCCCCCGGUGGUCCAUCUCAACCCUGCAUCUGUGCGUCUGAGUAAACAUAUGAAUCAAUUA